rnacentral:rRNA from 1 species
CUAAUACCGGAUAAGCCCUUACGGGGAAAGAUUUAUCGCCGAAAGAUCGGCCCGCGUCUGAUUAGCUAGUUGGUGAGGUAAUGGCUCACCAAGGCGACGAUCAGUAGCUGGUCUGAGAGGAUGAUCAGCCACAUUGGGACUGAGACUCGGCCCAAACUCCUACGGGAGGCAGCAGUGGGGAAUAUUGGACAAUGGGGGCAAGCCUGAUCCAGCCAUGCCGCGUGAGUGAUGAAGGCCCUAGGGUUGUAAAGCUCUUUUGUGCGGGAAGAUAAUGACGGUACCGCAAGAAUAAGCCCCGGCUAACUUCGUGCCAGCAGCCGCGCGUAAUACGAAGGGGGCUAGCGUUGCUCGGAAUCACUGGGCGUAAAGGGUGCGUAGGCGGGUUUUUAAGUCAGGGGUGAAAUCCUGGAGCUCAACUCCAGAACUGCCUUUGAUACUGAAGAUCUUGAGUUCGGGAGAGGUGAGUGGAACUGCGAGUGUAGAGGUGAAAUUCGUAGAUAUUCGCAAGAACACCAGUGGCGAAGGCGGCUCACUGGCCCGGUACUGACGCUGAGGCACGAAAGCGUGGGGAGCAAACA